AUUGAACGCUGGCGGCAGGCCUAACACAUGCAAGUCGAGCGGCAGCGGGAAAGUAGCUUGCUACUUUUGCCGGCGAGCGGCGGACGGGUGAGUAAUGCCUGGGAAAUUGCCCAGUCGAGGGGGAUAACAGCUGGAAACGACUGCUAAUACCGCAUACGCCCUACGGGGGAAAGCAGGGGACCUUCUGGCCUUGCGCGAGUGGAUAUGCCCAGGUGGGAUUAGCUAGUUGGUGAGGUAAUGGCUCACCAAGGCGACGAUCCCUAGCUGGUAUGAGAGGAUGAUCGGCCACACUGGAACUGAGACACGGUCCAGACGCCUACGGGAGGCAGCAGUGGGGAAUAUUGCACAAUGGGGGAAACCCUGAUGCAGCCAUGCCGUGUGUGUGAAGAAGGCCUUCGGGUUGUAAAGCACUUUCAGCGAGGAGGAAAGGUUGAUGCCUAAUACGUAUCAACUGUGACGUUACUCGCAGAAGAAGCACCGGCUAACUCCGUGCCAGCCGCCGCAGUAA
rnacentral:rRNA from 1 species